rnacentral:misc_RNA from 1 species
GGAAGGAUCAUUAACAAAUCUGUAUGGCGUAGUCUAGCUCGCUAGGCUUGCCACAUUGACUCGGGCCCUGACAGUUCGUCAGGGUCUAGAGACAUUCACGCUUGUAUUGUAUGACUGAGUCAUGGUGAAAAGAAAAAAAAGACAACUUUUAACAAUGGAUCUCUUGGCUCUUGCAACGAUGAAGAACGCAGUAAAGUGCGAUAUGUAGUGCGAUUUGCAUGAAUCUGUGAGUCAUCGAAUUUUUGAACGCAUCUUGCACCUCUUGGGCGACCAAGAGGUAUGUCUGUUUGAGUACCUGUAACAACAAUUUACCGGUUUACUGGUAGACCUGAGGCCGCAGUGCAGUUGAUGCGGUGGGCCUUUAAACGGAGCAAGUAUAGGCGGCGGAGCCUUUGCUAUGUGCUAGAGACCAGCUAGGUCUUGUCAUAGCUUUGGGGCCAAAGCCUCGCUCUCUCGGGAGCAAUCUCUGAACUGAACAUGGUCUCAAAUCAGGCAAGAUUACCCGCUGAACUUAAGCAUAUCAGUAAGCGGAGGAAAAGAAACUAACAAGGAUUCCCCUAGUAACGGCGAGCGAAGCGGGAAUAGCUCAAAUUUAAAAUCUGAACGGUUUCCGUUCCGAAUUGUAGUCUAAAGAAGGUGAUCGAGGCGGAGGGCGAGACCAAGUCCCUUGGAAUAGGGCGCCAUAGAGGGUGAGAGCCCCGUUUAGUCUUGCUUGAAGCUGAUAUGAGAGCCUCUCUAAGAGUCGAGUUGUUUGGGAAUGCAGCUCAAAGUGGGUGGUAAAUCUCAUCUAAGGCUAAAUAUAGGCAAGAGACCGAUAGCGAACAAGUACCGUGAGGGAAAGAUGAAAAGCACCUUGAAAAGGGAGUUAAAUAGUGCGUGAAAUUGUUAAAAGGGAACCGAUUGAGAUCAGUAUUGAUCGUGAGUAGUGAUAACAGUCCUUUGGGGCUGCUAGAGCCUUGCGGUCGAGUCAAUAUCUGCUAGAGUUGGUCGAUACGGCUAGAGGAAGGUGGGGUCGCUCGCAAGAGCAGCUCUUUAUAGACUCUAGACAACGGGCCAGCUUUGGCCGAUCUGCGGCCUAGCACACUUGGGGAUGAACCGGGUGGCAAUGUGCUGUAGGCUGUUUACAGACUAUGGCUCGAGUCAUUCGAGGAAUUCUUACAGUUAAUAGGUCUUAUUGACGAAAUGGUCUUAAACGACCCGUCUUGAAACACGGACCAAGGAGUCCAACAUAUAUGCGAGUAUUAGAGUGGCAAACUCUGAUGCGUAAUGAAAGUGAAAUCUGUGAGCUCGCAAGAGUGCAACAGGGACCGGCCUUGAUAUAUUUUGACAGGACCGAGUAAGAGCUUAUAUGUUGGGACCCGAAAGGCGGUGAACUAUGCCUGACUAGGGUGAAGCCAGAGGAAACUCUGGUGGAGGCUCGUAGCCGUUCUGACGUGCAAAUCGAUGGUCAAAGUUGGGUAUAGGGGCGAAAGACUAAUCGAACCGCCUAGUAGCUGGUUCCCUC